rnacentral:rRNA from 1 species
GACGAACGCUGGCGGCGUGCUUAACACAUGCAAGUCGUACGGUAAGGCCCUUUCGGGGGUACACGAGUGGCGAACGGGUGAGUAACACGUGAGUAACCUGCCCACAACUUUGGGAUAACGCUAGGAAACUGGUGCUAAUACUGGAUAUGUGCCCCUGCUGCAUGGUGGGGGUUGGAAAGCUCCGGCGGUUGUGGAUGGACUCGCGGCCUAUCAGCUUGUUGGUGGGGUAGUGGCCUACCAAGGCGGCGACGGGUAGCCGGCCUGAGAGGGUGACCGGCCACAUUGGGACUGAGAUACGGCCCAGACUCCUACGGGAGGCAGCAGUGGGGAAUAUUGCACAAUGGGCGCAAGCCUGAUGCAGCAACGCCGCGUGCGGGAUGACGGCCUUCGGGUUGUAAACCGCCUUCAGCAGGGACGAAGCUUUUUGUGACGGUACCUGCAGAAGAAGCACCGGCUAACUACGUG